rnacentral:misc_RNA from 1 species
UCUCCCGUGAGGGAGCAGUCUCGCCAGACACUUGUAACUGGCAAUGAGGGUUGCGUUCGUUACCCCACUUAAGGGAACAAUUCAAACCACGAACUGACGACGGCCAUGCAUCACCUGUCAUACUGCCCGAAGGCCCCUUAAGUUUCCUUAAGAGUUCAGUAUGAUUUCUAACCCUGGUGAGGUUCUUCGUUUGCUAUCGAAUUGAGCCACAUAAUCCACCGCUUGUGCAAGCCCCCGUCUAUUCCUUUGAGUUUUAAUCUUGCGAUCGUACUACCCAGGCGCUUCUCUUAACGCGUUAGCUUCGCCUCCCAGAGGGUCGAUACUCCGAAAAGCCAGAGAAGAACGUUUAGGGCGUGGACUAC